rnacentral:rRNA from 1 species
AACGAACGCUGGCGGCGUGGAUAAGACAUGCAAGUCGAACGGGACAACAUUUGUAGCAAUACCGAUGUUGUUUAGUGGCGAACGGAUGCGUAACACGUGGGCAAUCUGCCGAGAAGUGGGGGAUAGCUCGCCGAAAGGCGAAUUAAUACCGCAUAUGAUCAGAGGAGACAUUCCUUCGACAUCAAAGCCGGGGCAACCUGGCGCUUUUUGAGGAGCCCGCGGCCUANCAGCUAGUUGGUGAGGUAACGGCUCACCAAGGCUUUGACGGGUAGCUGGUCUGAGAGGACGACCAGUCACACUGGAACUGAGACACGGUCCAGACACCUACGGGUGGCAGCAGUCGAGAAUUUUUCUCAAGUGGGGCAACCCUGAAGGAGCGACGCCGCGUGGAGGAU